AUGAACGCUGGCGGCGUGCCUAAUACAUGCAAGUCGAGCGAACGGACGAGAAGCUUGCUUUUCUGAUGUUAGCGGCGGACGGGUGAGUAACACGUGGAUAACCUACCUAUAAGACUGGGAUAACUUCGGGAAACCGGAGCUAAUACCGGAUAAUAUUUUGAACCGCAUGGUUCAAAAGUGAAAGACGGUCUUGCUGUCACUUAUAGAUGGAUCCGCGCUGCAUUAGCUAGUUGGUAAGGUAACGGCUUACCAAGGCAACGAUGCAUAGCCGACCUGAGAGGGGGAUGGCCCCCUCGGGAACUGAGCCACGGCCCAGCCCCCCAGGGGGGGACCAGAUGGGGAAUUUUCCCAACUGGGCGAAAGCCUGCGGGAGCAACGCCGGGGGGGUGAAGAAGGUCUGCGGGUCGGAAAACUUUUUUUUGGGGGAAAAACAUUUUUGUAAGUAACGGUGCCCAUCUGGCCGGUACCAAAUCAGAAGCCCCCGCCAAAUUCCUG
rnacentral:rRNA from 1 species